rnacentral:rRNA from 1 species
GACGAACGCUGGCGGCGUGCUUAACACAUGCAAGUCGAACGGAAAGGCCCUGCUUUUGUGGGGUGCUCGAGUGGCGAACGGGUGAGUAACACGUGAGUAACCUGCCCUUGACUUUGGGAUAACUUCAGGAAACUGGGGCUAAUAACGGCUAGGAGCUCCUGCUGCAUGGUGGGGGUUGGAAAGUUUCGGCGGUUGGGGAUGGACUCGCGGCUUAUCAGCUUGUUGGUGGGGUAGUGGCUUACCAAGGCUUUGACGGGUAGCCGACCUGGGUAGGUGGCCGGCGACCAUGGGACUGAGAUACGGACCAGACUCGUACGGGAGGCAGCAGUGGGGAAUAUUGCACAAUGGGCGGACGCCUGAUGCAGAAACGCCGCGUGCGGAAUGACGGCCUUCGGGUUGUAAACCGCUUUCGCAGGUGACGACGCGUGAGUGACGGUAAUGGGUAAAGAAGCAACGGCUAACUACGUG